rnacentral:lncRNA from 14 species
CUCCUGGAGAACUUCACGCUGGUGUCCAGCAGCAGAGCCCAACCCCUCCUGGAUGGAAAGGGCCAAUGCCCCUUUGACCCACAGCACACCUACACGGCCCUGCUGGUGGACGGGGAGCUCUACGCCGGCACCAUGAACAACUUCCAAGGCAAUGAGCCCAUCGUGUCCCGCUCGCUGGGCACCAGGACCCUGCUCAAGACGGAUGCGUUCCUGCGCUGGCUUUCGGCCGACGCUGCCUUCGUGGCCUCCUUCAGCAUCCCUGGCGAUGACAAAGUCUACUUCUUCUUCGAGGAGACCGCAGAGGAGUUUGACUUCUUCGAGCGGCUCCUGGUGCCACGUGUGGCACGGGUCUGCAAGGUGGGAGCAUGGCCCUGGACCGGGUGCGAUGGCCCCUGGGGAAGGGCCCUCUCCUGCAUCCUUAUAGCCCCCUUCAGAUGGGAGGAUGGAGGAGGGGGAGGAUGGAGGGGGAUGGUGGAGGGUGAUGGAGAAUGAUGGAGGAGGAAGAUGAUAGAGGAUGAUGAUGGAGGAGGAGGAUAGAGGAGGAGAAUGAUGGAGGAGGAUGAUGAUGGAAGAGGAUGGUGGAGGAGGAUGAUGCAGGAGGAGAAUGAUGGAGGAGAAGGAUGAUAGAGGAUGAUGAUGGAGGAGGAUGAUGGAGGAUGAUGAUGGAGGAGGAUGAUGGAGGAUGAUGAUGGAGGAGGAUGNNNNNNNNNNNNNNNNNNNNUAAACCCCCCCCCGGUGAUGCCCUUUGUGCCCCACAGCGGACGGGUUCCUGCACAAAGCCGUGGAGCUGCCUGGAGCUCCGCACAUCGUGGAGAGCAUCCAGCUCUUUGGAACACCGGAGCCGGUGAAGAACCUCCUGUUGGCACCGGGGAAGGGCAUCCUCUAUGUGGGUUACUCUGGUGGUGUCCUCCAAGUGCCGGUGGCCAAUUGCAGCCUGCACCGGAGCUGUGCCGAGUGUGUCCUGGCGCGGGACCCCUACUGUGGCUGGAACAGCAACCAGGGCUCCUGCCAGCCCAUCCGCGGAGCCCAGGACAUGGCUCACCCCACCUCUUAACGCCGUGGUCCGCCUGCCCUGUCCCCAUCCCUCAGCACUGGCCACCUACCAUUGGGAGCAUCCCGACGGUGCCCGCGGGGCCACGGCACUGCUGCCCGGCCACACGCUCGUUGUCAUCAUGCAGAGGGGCACGGUGGGCACCUACAAGUGCCAGGCCAGCGAGAACGGCUACACAUGGACCGUGGCUCAUUACCACCUGCGGGAGCCCGGGGGGGGACGCUCCGGGCCCGGACGGGCUGGCGGAGUCCGGGCUGCCCCGGGGCUCGGACCCGGCUCCUGCCCGGUUGUACUGGCCCGAGUUUGUCACCGUCACCGUGCUGCUGGUGGUGACCCUGGCCGCGGCCGCCUGCUUGGCUCUCGUUGCCUACCACGACCAGCUCAAAGCCAGGAGCAAGGUUCGGGGGUGCAGCGCCCCCCAAAGCCCCCCCACGCAGCGAGGGGAGAAGGUGCCCCUCAAUGGGGGCACCGCGGAGCGUCCCGCACCCGGAGGUACCACGGAGGAGGAGGAGGAAGAGGAGGAGGAAGGAUCCCAUCCGUGCUGCGUGCAGCUGGAUGGGGACAUCGAUGCUGGUGACAACAGGCUCCGUGUGCCUAUGGGGGGUCCGGCGUGAUGGUGCCGUCGUAAUUCUGGGGGGGG